AUGAAUCUCCUACUUCAGCUGAGACGGGAAGCGAAAGAAGAGCAUGCAAUAUCUUCAACCUUCCAGACCUCAGGACUAGCACAAAAUCACACAGGAAAUUCUUGCUUCACAAUAUUUUUGACCAUGACCCUUUUUAAUCAGGUUUUUUUAACAAAGUACCUGGAACUUUCAGACAAACAUUAAGACCUUCCAAUAUGUUCCUUACUGCAAAUGCUGCAUCGCAAAUGUUAGUUUACAUUGCUUUCAAGAAGAGAGCUCAAAGAGCGCUGACUACUUCGAGUGCAAAUGUUACAGGCCGAACUUCAGAAAUCUCAGCCACUGAGGUCCCGGGUUUUUUUUAAAGCCAGAUAAUCACUGUUUCCAAUCCUGCUAUUCCUCAGUU
rnacentral:lncRNA from 1 species